AUAUUAAUUGUGUGUUUUUAUUGUUUAAAAGAAAAACUAAAUGGUUAAAAAAAAACUGGAAACAAUUGUGGCAGUUAUAAGCUUUAGGGCAGGUGUUACCAAUUGUGGACGUUCGCACUUUUCUUAUAUAAUUCCAUAGAGAAGAGAAGCAAAUGCUUACAACACCGAGGCGGUAGUAAACCAGGAGCGCGAGGACACACGGUGGCCCAGCACAGAGCCCAUCCAACACUUUGUGCGCGCGAAAGGAGGCGAGGACAAUGCCGAUUGAGGAAGAUGCCGGUUAGCAUCUUGUUCUCCAAGGAAAAGGCGGAGAGGAGCAGCGAAUGGAGCGGUCAACGCAGAGGGCUGAGCCAGAUCGUGGAAUGGCAGUGGAAAAAUUAGCACUUUUUCCCCUUGCAGUGGGUUAGCCAUCAUUCGUCUCCCACUCUGUUUUGUGACAGUCAUCUGCGUAGAGAAUUUUUCUGCUGGCGACACAAAAAUAACUUUUGGACCGGCUCGGAGUGGAUUUUCGUGAAUUUUACAGCAGGGAAUCAGAAUCACUGUUUUUUGUUUGGUUUUUACUACUGAAUAACCCAGUGCAAUUAAAACCCUUUGGGGGUGAAAGCAGCUCCAAGACGAGGGAGGAGAGCGUCCGCACAGCCCAGGACCCUGGUUCACCGGGAACGGUGGCUGCUGCCGGGCAAUCCUGGGAGAACGCUUAGAAGGCGGAGAGCGGGGGCACCCAGCCUGCGCAGCGAGUGUGCGCGCGCUCUGGUGCGAGUCUCCGGAGCUGUGCACCCAGCCGCCGCAGCCAGUCAUCUCGUUUCUGCCUUACACUUCCCUACAUUUUCUGAAGGUUUUGCAAAUAGCUUUGCAAACAGUAUGUGUUGGUUUUCAUAUUUUCUUUUAAAAAAUAAUAAUAAAGGAAAGCCCUCGUCCUUUUACCAGGCGCCCCACCUGAAGGGACCACUCGGGCUUCAUUUUGCCUGUCGCGGCUCAAGCAAGACCCAGUCGGCCCCGCGUCCCCUCCAAACCCUGUUCGCUCUUCUCUGCAGGAGCCCUCCGGGUCCUCCCGGACACUGCGCCCAGACCCUGGGCCUCCAGACUUGGGCCUUACUUGGGCUCCCUUGGGCAGGGGCUCCCCACGCCCCCGAGCGGAGGGGUGCCCCUGCCUGCUGUCCGAGGCGCGCUAGCAGUGAGGCGCUCCUUCGGCUUUCAGAUCACAGAGAGGGGCCAAGGGAUACGGAGCGUUUUCGCUGGGCGAGCUGCCUACGGAGGAGGUUACCGGCGGAUGCGGAGACUGCUGAGCAGGGAUUAAGCACCAGCACUUUCAGAAGUGGCAGUGAUCUCAGAGGCCUCCACCCGUGCAAUUCUGCUGCGUGAGGUUUCCACCCUUUUCAACAAGUGUUCCGGCUGGAGAUACCGGAUAUUGACACAACACCCUUGAUUGAAUACACCGGGAAUCUUCCCUUCCCUCCCCAUUAUAAAAAUCCAUUAAAGAAGAAAAAAAAAAAAAAAAAAACCAAAACCAAACAAACCCAGCACAUCUGGGGAAAAAAUAGAAAAACAUUCACCGGAAACCCCACCACUCAGAGAUAACUAAAAAUAUUUGAUGGUUUAACCUCCAGUUUCUUUUUCUGUGAAUUUCCCCUCCCCUCCAAGUAUGCCUACCUGCUGUAGAUACAGAUUUGAAACAUGCUUUUUAAACUUAGAUUUUAUGUCAUUAAAUCUUCCCAAACCUCACUGAAAUGGCUGGGUCUAAAUUCUUGCAGAUGAAAGUAGCUUGAAUUCCGUCCCUGGGGCCUGGACUUUUAAUGCGAGAUCUGAAGACGUGCUAGAGUAGAGGACUCUAGGAUUACUGGGCCGUACUAGUAGAUUUAUUUCCUCCUGCUUACUUUCUUAAUGUAAAAAUUGUCGGGUAAUUCUUAUAACUGUAUAUAGCUGUGUGUUAUAGCUGUGUGUUUUCAAGCCAAAGUGUGUAUCUUUCAGGCCUCAUGGGCAUUCAGAGAUUGUCUCAGCUGAGCAUUUCCUGUUUUAAUAACAGACCUUCACUCAAGUGAGGACCAUCUCCGUCCCACCAUGAGAUCCUCUGUGUAGACUAGGAAAUGUGUCUGCAAAACCACAGGGAAUUGUGAAUUGACCACAGACCCCGCCAUUAGCAGGGCUCUUACCGCCUACACAUCUCCCCAAGUUAGAGUAUCAAGUUAGAAAAGAAUGCCAACCAGUCUGGAAUCUGGGAUCUUCAAAACAAAAACAACCCUCCCCCUGGCCAAAAUUUGAAAUAUAGAUUUCAGAUAGAAUUGCAAAGAAAUGCACAGGGAGGUCUCAGGCCCCCUUCACCUGCCCUCCCCAAUGAUGACAUCUUGCGUUACUAUAGUACAGU
rnacentral:lncRNA from 1 species